GACGAACCGUGCGAACGUUGUUCGGAAUCACUGGGCUUAAAGGGCGCGUAGGCGGGCGGUCCAGUCAGGGGUGAAAUCUUUCGGCUCAACCGGAAAAGUGCCCCUGAUACUGACCACCUCGAGGGGUGUAGGGGCAUGUGGAACUAAUGGUGGAGCGGUGAAAUGCGUAGAUAUCAUUAGGAACGCCGGUGGCGAAAGCGACGUGCUGGACACCUUCUGACGCUGAGGCGCGAAAGCCAGGGGAGCAAACGGGG
rnacentral:rRNA from 1 species